GCAGAAUAAAAGUGGUUCUAUUUAGAAUACAGUGCUUUGCAAACCGAAGAACUGAAACUUCAAAUCCAGUUUAUGUUUCAUAGACAUGGCAAGGAAUGCUUUGGAGAUAAAUUGGCGUGUUGGUGUGCAUGUCAUAAAAUGAUUGAAGGUCCUGUCUUUGGAUUCAAGAAUUACUUCUAUGAACUGACUAUCGUUUGGAUACAAACAGCAAUCACAAUGGCCUUAUCAUGCACAUCCUUAUAUCUCUCCAGUGGUUAAGAAUGGAGCUCUAUUGAGACUACGAUAGAGACAGGACACACACUCAGCUGGUUGUAAAGCACGGUUUAGAAAUGUAGAACAUGAAACAUUUUUAGCAAUUCGCUACGAAAAUUAUAAACUUUCAGUUUCAACAGACAUUGAUAAUAAAGCUGGCUAGAAGCCAUGCUUUUCAGCAGAAGGUGUGCGAUUUCUGACAAAAUGGCAGAAGACAUGGGACCUCACUGGUGUGAUUCACAGCUUGGCGCAACAUGUUUGUCCCAAAAAAGAUAACUAAUGAAAGAUAACAAAUUCAAAUUCCUUGUUUCUUCAAGACAAAAAGUUGUACAUAUCUUUGUUGGAAAUAA